GCAACGCCUGCGCACACAGAGAGGGGGAAAAAAAGGAAAACAGAGGGAAAAUGUCAAAAUGCGAAAAUGUUGAGGUUAUAAUACAAUCAGAAAUUAGUUUAUUUACUUUUUUGGUUUUGUUUAUUGUGCUGUGACUUUUCCACUUAGGAAUGAUUAUGUACACGGUGUCUGUAUUGGACCCGAUCUAGAGUGGAUGCCUUUUUAAGUUGUCAGAUCUUUCGAACAGAUAUCUUUGUAUUUGAACAUGGAGGCGCUGUUACCCUCUGAAGUUGCUCGAUUAGUUUAUGGAUACCUGGAAGCUGAAAAAUGCUCGGAGGCUGCUACGUUGUUCCUGCAAACAUCCCAGCAUCUAAAAGAGUGUCACGCUUUUUACUUGCAGUAUAGAAGAUUUUCCACCAGAGUCAUGGGUCUGACGCUCCUUCAAUGUCUAGACUAUCUGUGUUCUGUUUAUCGCAUCGUACAAAGCCACCUUAACACGUUAGAGAACGACUCACUGGAAAACUCAGCCUCCCAGAACAACUAAACUUCCUGUUAGACUCAAUGAGCUUCAAUGCUGGGAACAAUGAUCAGACAGCAAGAGUUUCAAAUCAGGUUGAUCCGAAAACUCCUGAAAAAGUGGCGACUUCUGCAUUCCAAAAAAUGACUCGGAAAUCCCGCACAAAAAAUGCUUCUGAUAAAUCUUCAUUCCCUGGACCAAGUGCUGCUUUUACAUCUUUCCCUUUUUCUGUUGAUGAUGAUGUGGGGCCUGUUUUGCCGGUUCCCGAGACCACAAGCCUGGAGUCUCUGCCAGGCAACAUGAGAAACCGACGUAAAUCACCACUCAAAGUGAAGGAUGAUGAUUUCUGUAGUGAUGAAGGAUCUUCCAAUCAAACUGCAGUCGAUGCCAACCGUUUCAAGAAGCCAAAUCUGCCAAACCUGACCAACCUCUUCCUCGAUAAACCUGACCUCUGUUCGAAAAUCUCGAAAAACAUCAACAAAGCAUUGAAUUUGCCAGAUAAGCCGCGAGCCAGGAGUAAAGAUAAAAGCAAAGCCGUAGGAAAGUCAGCCGGUGAGCAACUGGAUACUGCCAUCAAAUCACUCGUCAAUCAGCUUGUUGACGAGGAUUCCGUUUUCGACGAUGUCCUAUCUGAAAUCAUAGAUCAAUUACCUACACCAGCUCCGUCACCUACUUCUCCAAAAAUAUGCCAAAAGCCCAGGAAAUACCAAAGACAGGGAAAGUUCCUGAAAUUCAUCUUGCUCAUGGCGAUGUGUUGCCCACUGCCGACUUUAGAAAUGAUAGUUUGCCCCCAGGAGACUUACAACUGUCAUCGAAAAAUGCCCAAAUUGAUGAAAUCUGUCCAAGUAAUAUAUCCAGCCCACAAAAGACAGCAGCACUCACAAGGACCUGUAGCACAUCAGAAAUUGGAGAACUCCAAAAACCACCGGAAAAUAUCAUUGAAAUCCCAGAAACAAUCUCCAUCCAACCGGCAAGUGUGAUCUCCUCGCAAAUUCCUGCAAGCCACUUGCCAGGACAACUUUCAGUGGAUUGCGUAGCGCAUCCUAUUGAGUCUUCAACACCGCAGCUUUUAGAACUGACAAAUAUGAAACCAGCAGAGGUAUUUUUCUCUAUUUUUUGUAAAUUGUAUGUUAGUUGGGAUCCAGACCCAUAUUUUUUGUAUGAUCAAUGAAAAGCGUCAAUGAGGUAUGAUUAGGGGCCCUAGUGGCCCUGUAUAUCUUUACAUAACCAUAAAUAAAUAAAUACAUUUCAAAGCUAUAUACAUUCUGUAAAAAAUCAAUGAAAUAAUUCUGUCAUAUUUGAUAUGUAUAUUGCACCUUAUAAUUUGAUAUGAAUUUGAUGAUAAUUAAUUGCCAAAGGUGAUUCCUUAAA
rnacentral:lncRNA from 1 species